rnacentral:rRNA from 1 species
UACGUAGGGUGCAAGCGUUGUCCGGAAUUAUUGGGCGUAAAGCGCGCGCAGGCGGUCUUUUAAGUCUGAUGUGAAAGCCCACGGCUCAACCGUGGAGGGUCAUUGGAAACUGGGAGACUUGAGUGCAGAAGAGAAGAGUGGAAUUCCACGUGUAGCGGUGAAAUGCGUAGAGAUGUGGAGGAACACCAGUGGCGAAGGCGACUCUUUGGUCUGUAACUGACGCUGAGGAGCGAAAGCGUGGGGAGCAAAAAGG